ensembl:snoRNA
AUCCUUUUGUAGUCUGUAAGUAUGAUGAUUGGGUGUUCAUGCUCAAGUGUGAGAUGUGCCACCCUCAUACCUUGUUAUGACUUUGGCACAUUACCUUUGUGACA